rnacentral:tRNA from 2 species
GUCCUGUUCGUCUAGAGGCCUAGGACGCCAGGUUCUCAUCCUGGUAACAGGGGUUCGAAUCCCCUACGGGACG